ensembl:lncRNA
UUAAGGUACCAGGCUAACUAUACAUCAGUUUAAGGUACCAGACUAACUAUUCGUCAGUUUAAGGGACCAGGCUAACUAUUCAUCAGUUUAAGGGACCAGACUAACUAUUCAUCAGUUUAAGGGACCAGACUAACUAUUCAUCAGUUUAAGGUACCAGGCUAACUAUUCAUCAGUUUAAGGGACCAGGCUAACUAUUCAUCAGUUUAAGGGACCAGGCUAACUAUACAUCAGUUUAAGGGACCUGGCUAACUAUUCAUCAGUUUAUUAAGGGACCAGGCUAACUAUUCAUCAGUUUAUUAAGGGACCAGGCU